rnacentral:lncRNA from 1 species
ACAAAGCAAAGCUCCGCGCACAAACGGCGUCCCCCGCUGCCCCCCGCUCUCCCGUCCGUCCUCCUGCGGCCUCGGCUGCCGCCGCCAGACGGCUGCAAGAUCAAAUCCUGUCCUCUGCCUCCCUCCUUGCAGCCCCUGAAGGUCCCGUGAGCAUCCUUUGCGUUUCAGCAUCCAAAACCUCAAUGAACCUGUUUAAUUCCUGUCUGGGACGAAGCAAGCGGCUGAAAUCCAUCUCUAGGAGCACUCCGGUUUAUUUAGGCUGCAGUUGGAUGCACAGUUUGUUAUCAUUCUCAUGUUUCAUUUUGUUUUUGGCAGUGUAGCUGCAUAAACAUCCCCCACAGCACCCCUCCCGGGGCAGAGCUCGGGGCUGGGCGUCAAGCGGGGGGACAGCGGGGAUGGGGGUGGCAUAGGCUGCUCAACCAGGGCUGCUGCUGGAGCAGCUGCACCUCUGAGCACUGCAGUUAUGUCCCGUGGUGCUUUUCAUCCCUUGGUACUGGCAUCUGCGCUUUGGCUUUUACUUGUUCUCCAGUGCCUGCGCCACAGCUUGACGUGAAUCCGCUGGAAUUUGA